AUUGAACGCUGGCGGCAGGCCUAACACAUGCAAGUCGAACGGUAACAGGAAGCAGCUUGCUGCUUCGCUGACGAGUGGCGGACGGGUGAGUAAUGUCUGGGAAACUGCCUGAUGGAGGGGGAUAACUACUGGAAACGGUAGCUAAUACCGCAUAACGUCGCAAGACCAAAGAGGGGGACCUUAGGGCCUCUUGCCAUCGGAUGUGCCCAGAUGGGAUUAGCUAGUAGGUGGGGUAACGGCUCACCUAGGCGACGAUCCCUAGCUGGUCUGAGAGGAUGACCAGCCACACUGGAACUGAGACACGGUCCAGACUCCUACGGGAGGCAGCAGUGGGGAAUAUUGCACAAUGGGCGCAAGCCUGAUGCAGCCAUGCCGCGUGUAUGAAGAAGGCCCGGGUUGUAAAGUACUUUCAGCGGGGAGGAAGGGAGUAAAGUUAAUACCUUUGCUCAUUGACGUUACCCGCAGAAGAAGCACCGGCUAACUCCGUG
rnacentral:rRNA from 1 species